CAUUGGAGAGCUAAUGAGGUGAAAUAGAGUGAGAAGAAGUCCAGGAACAAGAAGUUCAGUCAUGUUAUAAAAUGAGACCUUCUCAGCUCAUUGAAAAAGGAGCCUAUUUAUAUCUCAGUCAUGCCACCAGAAGCCUCCUCAUCCAGCAAUCAGCCUGGGUACUCCUCACAUGUACAGUCUGCCCCCCUGGGAAGGCAGAGGGAGGAACACUGCCCAAAACUUUCAUUUAAGGAGGAUACUCAGAGUUACAUUCACUCCCAUUCCAAGCCAGGCAAGCCAAGAACAUCAAUCACCUUCAAGACACAUUCCACUGCAGACAGAAACCAGGCAGCAUUUCCAGGAGUUUGUAAUACAGUUGAAGGGGCAAGAAAGUGAAGAGGAAACUGGUAAACAUAACACAAUUGGAUUUCAGAAUUGAAGUAAUCUAUAUUCAGUUGUGAGAUUGUAUGAUAAAGACUUUAAGUUCUACAAUAAUUCAAAAUAGGGGGAAAUGACUGUAAGGUACAUAUUAUAGAAUCACAUUAUCUUAUCUAACUAGUAUCUGAGCAGGAACAACUAUAACAAGCUGUUCCACAUAACGACCUUCAGUGAUGGGGAAUGUACUGCUUUACAAUACAUCACAUACAUUUGAGUAGUUACUAAAGUUGGCAAAUUUUUUGUUAUACUGAAUCAAAAUCUGUCACAUCCAUUACUCUUAGUUCUUGCCCUCUCUAGGGACAAACUAAAGAAGUCUUAUCCCUUUUCCAAAUUAUUCAAUAUUCAAAUGGAUCUGUGACUUCAUCAAUUCAGAAAUUCCUUCCAGCAACACAGAUUGCCACCUAUCCAUACAUACCUGUCCCUCCUUUGUGUCUCUUCUUCCAUGUGCUGGAGGCUUUCCUUGCUUUCUCUCAAAAUGAAGAAGCCAUCAAUAGAAAACUAGUUAUCUUAUCUUUUGCUUCUGCCAUAUUACAAGCCCAUAUUCUCUUUCUGUCAUACAAUUCCUUAUAAAAUAUUACACUCGUGUUCUUUGAAACACUUUGUUGAUUCUGUUAUACUCUGCUCACAUCUAUCACAUUCAAAUGAUAGUCUUUCAAAUACUCAAAGACAACCGUCCCUAUUGUCUUUUAUUUCCUGGUCUUACCUCUCUAGU